rnacentral:rRNA from 1 species
GGAUUAGAUACCCUGGUAGUCCACGCCGUAAACGAUGAGAACUGGAUGUUGGGUGCUAUAUAUGCACUUAGUGUCGUAGCUAACGCGUUAAGUUCUCCGCCUGGGGAGUACGGCCGCAAGGUUGAAACUCAAAGGAAUUGACGGGGGCCCGCACAAGCGGUGGAGCAUGUGGUUUAAUUCGAUGCAACGCGAAGAACCUUACCAGCCCUUGACAUCCUCGGAACUUUCCAGAGAUGGAUUGGUGCCUUCGGGAGCCGAGUGACAGGUGCUGCAUGGCUGUCGUCAGCUCGUGCCG